GAAAAUAUUUUCUUGGUCAAAGGUAAUUUUUAAGGAAAAUGAUUUUCUUUUUCAAAAAAGAAAAUUAUUUAAUGAAAUUUUACAAUCUCAUUAAAAUAUAAAAACAUUUAUGCGUGCAUCACAUAAACAAAUUAAUUUAAUAUCAUAGCCAAACAAUGGAAAAUAUUUGGAAAUAAGCUUAAUUUAGCUCCCUGUACUUUUUA
rnacentral:misc_RNA from 1 species